rnacentral:rRNA from 1 species
GACGAACGCUGGCGGCGUGCUUAACACAUGCAAGUCGAACGGUAAGGCCCUUCGGGGUACACGAGUGGCGAACGGGUGAGUAACACGUGGGUGAUCUGCCCUGCACUUCGGGAUAAGCCUGGGAAACUGGGUCUAAUACCGGAUAGGACCCUGGGAUGCAUGUCCUGGGGUGGAAAGCUUUUGCGGUGUGGGAUGGGCCCGCGGCCUAUCAGAUUGUCGGUGGGGUGAUGGCCUACCAAGGCGACGACGGGUAGCCGGCCUGAGAGGGUGACCGGCCACACUGGGACUGAGAUACGGCCCAGACUCCUACGGGAGGCAGCAGUGGGGAAUAUUGCACAAUGGGCGCAAGCCUGAUGCAGCGACGCCGCGUGAGGGAUGACGGCCUUCGGGUUGUAAACCUCUUUCAGCACCGACGAAGCGCAAGUGACGGUAGGUGCAGAAGAAGGACCGGCCAACUACGUGCCAGCAGCCGCGGUAA